UUUUAAUUGGAAACUCGUAUGAAGGGUUGGACAAAGGAUAAUCUGUUUUUAUUUUUAUUUUUGAAUUUAUCUUUUAAGUGAAAAGACUUGAAUAUAUUUAAGGGACGAUAAGACCCUAUAAAUCUUUAUAUUUAAUUUAAUGUUUAUAUUGAUUUUUAAUGUAAAUAUAAAAUAAAGACUAAUAAUGUUAUGUUGGGGUGACAAGAAUAAAAAAUAAACUGUUCUAAAAAUAAACAAAGUUAUUUGAUUAAUAGUAGAUCCUUUUUAAAGAUAUAAGUUUAAGUUACUUUAGGGAUAACAGCGUUAUUUCUUUUGAGAGUUCAAAUCGAAAAAGAAGUUUGCGACCUCGAUGUUGAAUUAAAAUUUCUUUAUAGUGCAGCAGUUAUAUAAGAAAGUCUGUUCGACUUUUAAAAUUUUACGUGAUCU
rnacentral:rRNA from 1 species